AGAGCGCGUGAGGGAAACUGCUACUGCACGACGCGAGUGAUGAACACCUGUGCGCAUCCCUGCGCCACCGGCACGCAGCCCUGGGAUUUCACCUCGUCCUUGAGAGACCAGCGCAAAUCAACCCAAAUAAAACAUCCCGACCCUGUUCACCUCUCCCGGAGGGUCGUUUUCCUUCGCGACACGUGGACGAAGCCGUACACAGCAUUAGGGACCGAAGAGACGCAGCCUCUAUAGAGGGACUCAGACAGGGUGGGAGGAGAUCCCAGCAGGUAAAAGGACCCACCGCAGGUCACGACCACAAACAGCAUAUCAGCUGGCUAUUUCUGAACAGGCCAUUGUGCCUGAUUUCUGUCCACACAGACACACACACAAACACACACACACACGUGUCCUUUACACCUGGUUGUACUGUAGGUCCUGCUUAACGCUGUUGUAGUGCCAAUGGGAAUUUACAGUACAUACAAAAUACAAAAAAAAAAUCAGGAAGGUUUAUGUGAGGGUUAUAUUUAGGGUUAGAGGAUUGUUUUUAUUUGCCAUUAUUUUUAUGACCUGACCCUGAAUAAAGGUCACGUCAGCACACA
ensembl:lncRNA